ACUGUAUGAGGUAACUAAUCAGUUGCGGUUUUCUUACUCGGCAUUAUAUGGCCAGGAAAACAUUUGCCUUUUACAGUUUCUUUUCUUGGGAAACUGUUAUCUAUCUGUCGAACUUGUAGCCACACACACGAGCAGGGGCAGAAUAGUCACUAACCUCGCGAGAACUGCCACCCAGGCUGCUGCAAGUGUGGACAGCGGGAACAAACCUGGAACAGGGAGAGAUGGAUGGAUGCAAGGAGAGAGAGGGCAUUCCUGCCAAAAAAGUAAAGACUGCAUGUAAAUAUCUAGAGAAACGGGACAUCGAAUUUACCUUUCUAAAGAGGAGCAGGAUGGGGCAGAGUUAUGCAAAGCCUGCAAAAUGAUGACAGCAGAAGUUGGGAGAAAGCACCAGAGUCCUAUAUGGGAUUUCUUUGAAUAUGACUGCAAGUGUCUUGUAGUGGAAACAGAACAAGCACAUCUCUGGAGCAGCAUGUUUUCCUCAAAAUCAACAAGAAAUUGUUGAUUGACUGAAGUACACCCAUAUCUCUCUCUCUCUCUCUCUCUCUCUCUCUCUCUCUUUCUUUCUGAUGUUAUAUACAACAUGCGAGGUACAGUAUGUUAGGAGUUUCUCAGGGGCUGUUGUUCACUAGACUCCCUUUGUGGGCAGUUUGGCGACAUCUGGUGGUGGCUGGAGGUACUUCACCUCCAUUUUCCAGCCAAUAGAUCGCUCCUUUGCCUAAUUAGGCACACCUGUCUCCAAUCUACUCCUCAUCAGCCUACUGUUUUAAACCCUUGGUUUCUUCCCAGUCAUGACCAGAUUGUCAGUUGCUGUUUGCCCUGCACACUGCCUGGUUCCCUUUGCACCUGCUAUCUGUUCCUGUGUUCCUGUGUUCCUGCCUUCUCUGCCUGGUCCCUGGAUCUCUCAUCCACCUGCCACCUGGGGUCCCUGUCACCCUUCAACCCCCUGGUACCCUCGCCUUCACCCUCGUUCCCUGGUUCUCUGUUUGGACUGUGAUGCUUAAUAAACCAUUUAAACCCUG